UUAGGGAUAAUGAUAUUUAUCAAGUGUAGAUCAUUGUGUGCCAUAUAGGUUGGUUGUCCUCGUUAUCAAAGAGUAUGGAGAUACUGGUAUGACAUACAUAUGAGAUAUAGGGAUACAUCAUUACUGAAUGAGUGACUCACCUGUGGAGCACUCUGCUGUCAAGAGCAGCACACGAAAUGUAUAGGCAUCAGUGUCCCUCAGAUCUG
rnacentral:lncRNA from 1 species